rnacentral:rRNA from 1 species
AUUGAACGCUGGCGGCAUGCCUUACACAUGCAAGUCGAACGGCAGCACGGGGCAACCUGGUGGCGAGUGGCGAACGGGUGAGUAAUGCAUCGGAACAUACCUUCCAGUGGGGGAUAACGUAGCGAAAGUUACGCUAAUACCGCAUAUUCUGUGAGCAGGAAAGCAGGGGAUCGCAAGACCUUUCGCUGAUUGAGCGGCCGAGGUCAGAUUAGCUAGUUGGUGAGGUAAAUGCUCACCAAGGCGACGAUGUGUAGCGGGUCUGAGAGGAUGAUCCGCCACACUGGAACUGAGACACGGUCCAGACUCCUACGGGAGGCAGCAGUGGGGAAUUUUGGACAAUGGGGGCAACCCUGAUCCAGCCAUGCCGCGUGAGUGAAGAAGGCCUUCGGGUUGUAAAGCUCUUUCGGCCGGGAAGAAAUCGCACGGGCUAAUACCCUGUGUGGAUGACGGUACCGGAAUAAGAAGCACCGGCUAACUACGUGCCAGCCGCCGCAGUAAAAC